AUUGAACGCUGGCGGCACGCCUUACACAUGCAAGUCGAACGGUAACGCGGGGCAACCUGGCGACGAGUGGCGAACGGGUGAGUAAUGCAUCGGAACGUGCCCAGUAGUGGGGGAUAGCCCGGCGAAAGCCGGAUUAAUACCGCAUACGACCUACGGGUGAAAGGGGGGGAUCGCAAGACCUCUCGCUAUUGGAGCGGCCGAUGUCAGAUUAGGUAGUUGGUGGGGUAAAGGCCCACCAAGCCUUCGAUCUGUAGCUGGUCUGAGAGGACGACCAGCCACACUGGGACUGAGACACGGCCCAGACUCCUACGGGAGGCAGCAGUGGGGAAUUUUGGACAAUGGGCGCAAGCCUGAUCCAGCCAUGCCGCGUGCGGGAAGAAGGCCUUCGGGUUGUAAACCGCUUUUGUCAGGGAAGAAACGCUCUGGGCUAAUACCUCGGGGUAAUGACGGUACCUGAAGAAUAAGCACCGGCUAACUACGUGCCAGCAGCCGCCGCGG
rnacentral:rRNA from 1 species